GACGAACGCUGGCGGCGUGCUUAACACAUGCAAGUCGUACGGAAAGGCCCUUUCGGGGGUGCACGCUUGGCGGACGGGUGAGUAACACGUGCGUAACCAGCCCACCACUUUGUGAGAACGCUCGGAAACUAGUGCGAAUUAUGAACAUGUGCCCGUGCUGGAUGGUGGGGGUUGGAUAGCUCCGGCGGGUGUGGAUGGACUGGCGGCCUAUCAGCUUGUUGGUGGGGUAGUGGCCUACCAACGCGGCGGCGGGGAGCCGGCCUGCGAGGGUGACCGGCCACAUUGGGGCUGAGGUACGGCCCAGGCUCCUACGGGGGGCAGCAGGGGGGAAUAUUGCACAAUGGGCGGGAGCCUGGUGCAGCAACGCCGCGUGCGGGAUGACGGCCUUCGGGUUGGAAACCGCUUUCAGCAGGGACGAAGCUUUUUGUGACGGUACCUGCAGAAGAAGCACCGGCUAACUACGUG
rnacentral:rRNA from 1 species